GAGAGUAUAGCUCAAGUGGUAGAGCACAUGCUUAGCAUACACACGGUCCUGGGUUCAAUCCCCAGUACUGCCU
rnacentral:tRNA from 1 species